GCCAGCCCGCUCAGAAACUUAAAGGAAUUGAGGGGGCCCGCACAAGCGGUGGAGUAUGUGGUUUAAUUCGAUGCAACGCGAAGAACCUUACCUGGUCUUGACAUCCCGGAGACCCUUAGGAAACUAGGGGGUGCUUCCAUCUGGAAGAAUCUGGAGACAGGUGCUGCAUGGCUGUCGUCAGCUCGUGUCGUGAGAUGUUGGGUUAAGUCCCGCAACGAGCGCAACCCUUGCCUUUAGUUGCCAGCAGUUCGGCUGGGCACUCUAAAGGGACUGCCGGUGUUAAACCGGAGGAAGGUGGGGAUGACGUCAAGUCCUCAUGGCCUUUAUGACCAGGGCUACACACGUACUACAAUGGCCGAUACAAAGGGCAGCGACACUGCGAGGUGAAGCCAAUCCCGUAAAAUCGGUCUCAGUCCGGAUUGGAGUCUGCAACUCGACUCCAUGAAGUUGGAAUCGCUAGUAAUCGUGGAUCAGCCAUGCCAACGGUGAAUACGUUCCGGGCCGUU
rnacentral:rRNA from 1 species